ACACGUAUGCGUGGAAAUGAGAGACAUGUCCAGGGAACUUAGAUUAGACCAAUUUGGCAAAGAAAUAGAGCUAAUUUAAAAGAGAGUGAGAGAAAAGAAAAGAUAGGUUGAGAAGAGAUUAGUCUUAGAAUAAAUACAUUUUGCUAGAGGGAAACUUCUGAAAAUAUUUCAGCACAAAUGUGACCUGAGAAAAAAAAUGGCAUUUUCAGAUGUUCAGCUAACAACAUUCAACAAGUAGAACGAACUAAUGAAAGAAAACAUGAGCAGAAGGAGGACUCUUAAGUAGCUAUUGCUAUACUUAGGACUAAAGGUGUGAAUAUCUGGACAUGGCCAGAGCUAUAUUCGUGUUAGUUGAAGACUGAAGAAAAUGUAAGACAUGAUGAAUAAAUUUCUGUAGAUUAAAUUCUGCGGGUCUUGCCUGGGCUCACUGAUGCAGCUGCUUUCAAAUGCUGAGUUGCAUGGGGACUGCACUCAGCUAGGAUGUCUGGUCUUCACUCUCCUUGGAGCAGGCUUAUUCACUUUGUAUAACAGCAGCCAUCCAAGAGGGUGGAAAACACAUCAGAGUGAUGAUAGGAAGCAACAUUUAAGUUUAUAUACAGAAGAUAUCUUGAAAAUUCCUGUUUUUUCAUAUCAAGGAUAUAAAGGAUAAUGUUGCUCAAAAAAUGCUAUAAAAUGGCUUCUAUGUGCUUCCAAGUGAU